rnacentral:rRNA from 1 species
CCUUUGUACACACCGCCCGUCGCUACUACCGAUUGAAUGGCUCAGUGAGGCCUUCGGACUGCCCCAGAGAGGUCGGCAACGACCACUCAGGGGCGGAAAGUUGGUCAAACUCGGUCAUUUAGAGG